UACGAAGGGGGCUAGCGUUGUUCGGAAUUACUGGGCGUAAAGCGCACGUAGGCGGACAUUUAAGUCAGGGGUGAAAUCCCGGGGCUCAACCCCGGAACUGCCUUUGAUACUGGGUGUCUUGAGUGUGGAAGAGGUGAGUGGAAUUCCGAGUGUAGAGGUGAAAUUCGUAGAUAUUCGGAGGAACACCAGUGGCGAAGGCGGCUCACUGGUCCACAACUGACGCUGAGGUGCGAAAGCGUGGGGAGCAAAC
rnacentral:rRNA from 2 species